GCCAUCUAUGGUGUUGGCCGCUUAAUGCUUCCGUUCCCUUCACCUAAACGCAUGUGGCUUGGGUUUCUAUUGAUCUUGAGUGCAUCACACAUCAUAUUCAGUCUCUUAAGCAAUCAAAUGAAGCACUAUGUCAUGCUAAAUAAAGUUUAGGGUCAACCACUGAUUUAAUCAUAUGGUAUAUCACUCCU